GAAAUGCGAUAAGUAAUGUGAAUUGCAGAAUUCAGUGAAUCAUCGAAUCUUUGAACGCACAUUGCGCCCGCCAGUAUUCUGGCGGGCAUGCCUGCUCGAGCGUCAUUACAACCCUCAGGCCCCCGGGCCUGGCGUUGGGGAUCGGCGGAAGCCCCCUGCGGGCACAACGCCGUCCCCCAAAUACAGUGGCGGUCCCGCCGCAGCUGCCAUUGCGUAGUAGCUAACACCUCGCAACUGGAGAGCGGCGCGGCCACGCCGUAAAACACCCAACUUCUGAAUGUUGACCUCGAAUCAGGUAGGAAUACCCGCUGAACUUAAGC
rnacentral:misc_RNA from 1 species